rnacentral:rRNA from 1 species
GACGAACGCUGGCGGCGUGCUUAACACAUGCAAGUCGAACGGAAAGGCCCUGCUUUUGUGGGGUGCUCGAGUGGCGAACGGGUGAGUAACACGUGAGUAACCUGCCCUUGACUUUGGGAUAACUUCAGGAAACUGGGGCUAAUACCGGAUAGGAGCUCCUGCUGCAUGGUGGGGGUUGGAAAGUUUCGGCGGUUGGGGAUGGACGCGCGGCUUAUCAGCUUGUUGGUGGGGUAGUGGCUUACCAAGGGUUUGACGGGUAGCCGGCCUGAGAGGGUGACCGGCCACAUGGGGACUGAGAUACGGCCCAGACUCCUACGGGAGGCAGCAGUGGGGAAUAUUGCACAAUGGGCGGAAGCCUGAUGCAGCAACGCCGCGUGCGGGAUGACGGCCUUCGGGUUGUAAACCGCUUUCGCCUGUGACGAAGCGUGAGUGACGGUAAUGGGUAAAGAAGCACCGGCUAACUACGUG